ensembl:snoRNA SNORD22 Small nucleolar RNA SNORD22
GCUUGGUGAUGAAACGUGCACGUGUCUUACGCCUUGUCUCAACACUAGAACCUGAAAAGGUGAACCCACUGGUGUUGCCAGGGCAACAAGGGGAUAGCCUGUUGGGGUUGCCAAUGGUCUGACUGGCC